rnacentral:rRNA from 1 species
AGCAGCCGCGGUAAUUCCAGCUCCAAUAGCGUAUAUUAAAGUUGUUGCAGUUAAAAAGCUCGUAGUUGAAUUUCGGGAUUGACACAUCGGUCGUGCCUUAAGGGGUAUGAACUGGUGUAGUCAAUUUCUCACCUUCUGGAGAACCGCGAUGCCCUUAAUUGGGUGUCGCGGGGAACCAGGACCUUUACUUUGAAAAAUUAGAGUGUUUAAAGCAGGCAUUUUGCUUGAAUACAUUAGCAUGGAAUAAUAAAAUAGGACGGCAUGAUUCUAUUUUGUUGGUUUCUAGGAUCACCGUAAUGAUUAAUAGGGAUAGUUGGGGGCAUUAGUAUUCAAUUGUCAGAGGUGAAAUUCUUGGAUUUAUUGAAGACUAACUACUGCGAAAGCAUUCGCCAAGGAUGUUUUCAUUAAUCAAGAACGAAAGUUAGGGGAUCGAAGACGAUCAGAUACCGUCGUAGUCUUAACCAUAAACUAUGCUGACUAGGAAUCAGACGAUGUAAUUUUUAAUGUACUCGUU